rnacentral:rRNA from 1 species
CGGAAGGAUCAUUAAUGAGAGGGGGGCUUUGUGCUCCAGGGGCUCACACCCCGCACCUUUCCACCCUGUGUAUAUCUGCUACUGUUGCCUUGGCGGGCCCCGGGAUCUCUCCCGGCGUUGGUCCCCUAACGGGUCCCGCGAGUGCUCGUCAGAGGCCCAUCUAAAAUCUGUUUUAUUAGUGAAGUCAGAGUUCAUAUGAAUUAUUAAAACUUUCAACAACGGAUCUCUUGGUUCUGGCAUCGAUGAAGAACGCAGCGAAAUGCGAUAAGUAAUGUGAAUUGCAGAAUUCAGUGAAUCAUCGAAUCUUUGAACGCACAUUGCGCCCUUCGGAAUCCCGAGGGGCAUGCCUGUUCGAGCGUCAUUAAACCCCUCAAGCUUUGCUUGGUAUUGGGUGCCGCCCCCCGGUUUUAGGGGAGCGCACCCGAAAUUUAGUGGCGGUCUGGGGAGACUUCAAGCGCAGUAAAACUUAUCCGCUUUUGAAGCUUUCGACCUGGGGCCCGGCCAGCGAAGCUUCUAUUUGCAAGAAUUGACCUCGGAUCAGGUAGGGGAUACCCGCUGAACUUAAGCAUAUC